AUUAUUUUGAAAGUAAAAAUCGUAACAAGGUCUCCGUAGGUGAACCUGCGGAGGGAUCAUUACACAAAUAUGAAGGCGGGCUGGAACCUCUCGGGGUUACAGCCUUGCUGAAUUAUUCACCCUUGUCUUUUGCGUACUUCUUGUUUCCUUGGUGGGUUCGCCCACCACUAGGACAAACAUAAACCUUUUGUAAUUGCAAUCAGCGUCAGUAACAAAUUAAUAAUUACAACUUUCAACAACGGAUCUCUUGGUUCUGGCAUCGAUGAAGAACGCAGCGAAAUGCGAUAAGUAGUGUGAAUUGCAGAAUUCAGUGAAUCAUCGAAUCUUUGAACGCACAUUGCGCCCUUUGGUAUUCCAAAGGGCAUGCCUGUUCGAGCGUCAUUUGUACCCUCAAGCUUUGCUUGGUGUUGGGCGUCUUGUCUCUAGCUUUGCUGGAGACUCGCCUUAAAGUAAUUGGCAGCCGGCCUACUGGUUUCGGAGCGCAGCACAAGUCGCACUCUCUAUCAGCAAAGGUCUAGCAUCCAUUAAGCCUUUUUUUCAACUUUGACCUCGGAUCAGGUAGGGAGCCCAAUUCCC
rnacentral:rRNA from 1 species